UGCGCAUAAUAACGCACGGAGUCUGAAACAGCCCGCACCAUCCAUGAGUAAGAUAGUUUUAUCUUCUUGGAAGAUUAGCUCACUUUCCUCUGUAAUACAUGGUCACGCCAGCACUUCAUUGCCGUCCUUGGAGCGAAUAUUCACUAACGUCGCCAUAUCAGCGCUGACAGUCUCAGACAAAAUGGCGCCGUGCGUUUACAAUAUCCGCCUGCUCGUUUGUGGACUGCUGCCUACACUGAUCGAAACUGCAGUGUAGGAAGUGUAGUUUUCAUGUUACACUACAGCUAUAAAAAAUGUUUUCGUGUAGGUGGGUGGAGCUAAACUUUUCGACACAAGUAAAAAAAAUUAUGACUUCCUGCAAUAGUUACACUCGUGUAGUCAGUGUAAGUAAAAAAAAUAGCCCCAUUAGAAAGUUUCGGUUCGACACUCAGCUUCUGGACCUUUGGCUGUGUGGGCCGCUUGAAUUCAUGCGCCUUUCAUGCUUGCGAAUGAUGAACUCGAGUUCUGCCAUGAAUCGCGGUGGGAGGUAAGCUAGCGCCCUUCCGCGGUUGUUUAGAAAUGUGUGGAGCAUGGCCUCCGAGACUGCCCCAGCAUACGAAUGCUCCACUUCGAUGCACCAGGCUGCGAGUGGAGCAUCCAGUGGAAAGUUCGUAGUGGCGCGAGUAUGCGGAUUGCCCCAAAGCGACUACAGGCAAAAGCCAAGGUCGCGUAUCGCUUUAUGCCACCGUGACAAAGACCAUCCUUUUGAGCAACGAUUUUGAGCCAGCAGCUGCGGUACGUCACUGUCACGGCACUCAGCGUGAUGCCUACUUCAUCGCGAAAGAAGCCGUUGUGCGGUGAAAGGGUGGUUCGUGAGUCGUUGCGCGAUGCGCACCUCGUAUGUGGAAAGACUGGUGUUCUAAUCGCCGUGGUUAAGAAAAUGCACGCUAAAGCGCGCAAAAAAAAAAAAAAAAAUGUCUCCUGUGAUGCCACACUGCAGUUGGUGCAGGCGGCGUUGCCGUGAUCGGCUACACAGUAGAGCUGCGCGCCGCCGUGAUUUUAUUGAAACCCAAGCAUUUUCCGUUGUGCUUCUUUACAGACGUGCCUGACGCAAAGCGCGUUCUUUGUACCUUUUUUUUAGAAAGCGCGCGUUGUGGCGGUGCAACCGCUUGCUGAUGACCCCGUUGCCUCAAAAGCAACUACAGUUGACGACACCUCAAUUCACAUAGUAUGUGAUCUGUAAAAAUGCUAUGGCAUUCUCCGUGUAUCCCGUGGGCACACCAAUCGAGCCCGCGAGUCCAGCCGCAAGGUCAUCCACGAAUCCAGAAGGCGUGAAUCCAAUGUCUCCAGAGCUUGCCAUCACUCCAACAAUGGGUCUUCCUGCUGCUGCAACACUCGAAUAGGAGAAGGAGUCACUCCUCGCAACGCCCGCACUAAUAACCAGACUACCUCAAUGCCCACUAUGCAAGCUCAAAUGCCUGUCACGAUCAUUUUCUGCCCUUGGCAACCAGUCAACCUCAAAAGCGGCAACCUCUCCGUCCACACUGAGGCAUUGAAUGCCAUGUGAAGACGCUCCCAACAGUCCAGACUUCCCAGGUGCAUCUCUUUGAACACUUGAGUUUGCUCGCCUCCGUUCGCUGCUGAAUUUCUCAGUCUUGCACAACUCAAGAUACCUGUUCGUGACACGGUGGGACAUGGCUGUAUGCUGGCUGGAUGCAAAUUAUCUCCAUUGUCAUCAUAACAACAUGAUGGUCCUUUGACGUAACAUCUGUGACGUGAAGUGCAGCAUUACCAUCUGUUUCCUUUAUGUUGCAGAAUGCUGAUGACUGCGGGACGUCUGCAUAUCCGAGGCCAACACCAGAUGAACGGGAACAGUUCAUGGACGAGCUGCAAGUCACGGGGAAAGCAGAAUACUUUUGCACAGCCAAGAAGAACACACUCGAAGCAUUUGUUCAGGAAGGCGAGCCUGGAGAAAUGGGAGUACCUCAGGAAGUGUCAGUUGAGGACUUCUUAUGUCUGGAAAUUAUGGAAGGACCCCUUGUGCCUGUUAGGAAAACUAAGCCUCGAGGAAAAAAAGUCAACAGAAAAGGCGCUUGUUGGUUACGCUGUGAUGUGUGUCAGUAUACCACAAGAUGGCCAAGUAAUCACAAGAAACACAUGCGAACCCACCAACAGAAGCGCUUCAAGUGUGACGUUUGUCCGGGGACAUUUUCGACGGAGAGCGAGGAUCAUUUCAAGGCUCACAUGUCGGUUCAUGCUGGCGUGAAGCCGUUCAAGUGCAGCAAGUGCUCGUACGCAUCAACGAGGAAGCAUCUCAUAGAAAAGCAUGAGUCAGAACACCACAUUGAACUGAGCAUCAUCUAUGUUGAGUGAACAUAGCAUUCAACUAACGAAGGGGUGGGAGAGGAGCGCAGGACACUCGGCUUCCCCAAGAGCCAUUGACCUGGGGAAUGGUCUCCUUGAGAUACAACAUCCAAGGCCAGUCAUGCAAAUUUGCAACGUCCUUUAAUAAUUCAUGUUUUUUACAUCAUUUAAUUGAGUUCCCCCAGCGUGCCAUUACCUGCAUUUGUAAUUUGUUUCCUUGUUUCCAAGACAGUACUGUUGCUUUCGAUGCCCUAUGUCCUUUUGUAAAAUAUUUUUUAACACGUUUUUAGGAGAGGGAUAGGGAAUUGUGGGCUGUUAGAGCUAUCUGUAAAGCAUGGAUGCGUUCUUUCUUUUCUUUUAUAAUAAUUUUUUCCUAGAAGUAAUUUUUCUUUCACUACUUAUAAAGAUGAAAUAUUCUUUUGUACCUUCUGCUAGCCUCUUGCAUAUGUACUAUGCUACUUCCUUCUUUUUUCCUAACAUGGUGCAUCAUCGUUAGUGCCAUUACUUUUAUUUUUUUCGUGUUAGUAAACUGCAUUCCUGUGUAUCCCUCCAUUAUGCAAUUCCUUUUGGUGCCCAUAAGGUAUUUAAAUGAAUAAACUUGUCCUUUUCGAUUAUGCA